UGAAAAAAUAUAUGAAAACUAUGAAGGAUCAAAAAUAAAAAUAGUAUUUUCUAAUUUAGGACGAAGAUAUAAGAAAAUAGGUGAACAUUUAUAUCUAAUGUUAGAAAAAGAAGAAUUAAAAUUAGAAGAUAAAUUAACAGCAAUGGUAAGAAUAGAAAAAGAAAAUGAAGAGAUAGAUAGGAAAAAAGAAAUAGAAAAAAUAAAACAACAAACUACGGAAGAAAUACGAAAAAUAGAAGAAACCAAAAAUAGUAGAAUUGCUGAAUUAGAAAAAGAAUUACAAAUGUUAAAAGAACUGUAUGAACAAAGAC
rnacentral:lncRNA from 1 species